rnacentral:rRNA from 1 species
ACAGCAGCAGCCACGGUAAUACGUAGGUCCCGAGCGUUGUCCGGAUUUAUUGGGCGUAAAGCGAGCGCAGGCGGUUAGAUAAGUCUGAAGUUAAAGGCUGUGGCUUAACCAUAGUACGCUUUGGAAACUGUUUAACCUGAGUGCAAGAGGGGAGAGUGGAAUUCCAUGUGUAGCGGUGAAGUGCGUAGAUAUAUGGAGGAACACCGGUGGCGAAAGCGGCUCUCUGGCUUGUAACUGACGCUGAGGCUCGAAAGCGUGGGGCGCAAACAGGAUUAGAUACCCCCGUAGUCCCUGUCUCUUAUACA